rnacentral:rRNA from 1 species
UGAGGAAUAUUGGUCAAUGGGCGAGAGCCUGAACCAGCCAAGUAGCGUGCAGGAUGACGGCCCUAUGGGUUGUAAACUGCUUUUAUGUGGGGAUAAAGUGCGUGACGUGUCAUGCAUUGCAGGUACCACAUGAAUAAGGACCGGCUAAUUCCGUGCCAGCAGCCGCGGUAAUACGGAAGGUCCGGGCGUUAUCCGGAUUUAUUGGGUUUAAAUGGAGCGUAGGCUGUCUAUUAAGCGUGUUGUGAAAUAUACCGGCUCAACCGGUGGCUUGCAGCGCGAACUGGUCGACUUGAGUAUGCAGGAAGUAGGCGGAAUUCAUGGUGUAGCGGUGAAAUGCUUAGAUAUCAUGACGAACUCCGAUUGCGCAGGCAGCUUACUGUAGCAUAACUGACGCUAAUGCUCGAAAGUGCGGGUAUCAAACAGG